ensembl:snRNA U4 U4 spliceosomal RNA
AGCUUUGCACAGUGGCAGUAUCAUAGCCAGUGAGGUUUAUCCAAGGCAUGAUUAUCACUAAUUGAAAAAAUUUUCAAAUACACCACCAUGAGACUUGAAAUAUAGUCGGAGUUGGCAAUUUUUGGCAGUCUGUACAGA